rnacentral:rRNA from 1 species
AUGCCUGAUGAUGCAAGGCCAGGCCCAGUCGCGCGCGAAGGCGGAGAACCCGAUGCGCCGCCGAGCGCCCGGGACCCGGUCAUCCUCGACACCUCGCAACAGAUUCCUCGCGCUGCCACCCUCUCGCCACUGCCACCUCACACCGCCACUCUCUCACAGCGCAGGUACCAGAGGAUCAACCCAGAGUCCGUUCCAGUCCCAAAUGGCAGCGGCAGCGGCAGUGGCAGCUCCACCACCAGGAAGCUAACAGAACACGCACCAUCACCCACACCAAGCAUGGACGAGCGCGAUGGGGCCACAGCCGUGGACGCCGACAACUCGUGCCUCGCGUCCUACCUCGCCCGCGCCUCGCUCAAGCAGCGCUGGCCAGGAGGGCGUCCGGCGUCCUCAUCCGCUGUCAUCGUGAGCGAUCAUCCGCUGCACAACACCUCCGUGCACUCCUCGCAGGGACUCAACCUGGGCGGCGGCCUCUACGACUUGGCAGCCCAAGCCUCCGAGGUAUCCAACAGCCUCGGUGGCGCGGUCUACACCUUCGACACCCAGGCCUCCCAGGUAUACAACAGCCUCGACGGCGGCCUCUACAACCUCGCCGCCCAGGCUACCCAGGGAGCCGACCUCGGCGCGGGCAGGCUCUACAACCUCGCCGCCCAGGCUACCCAGGGAACCAACCCCGGCGGCGGCAGCAGCAGCAGCCGCAUCGCCAUCGCCGCGCCGAAAGACCCCAUCCCGCUCAAGUGGGGCCACAAGAAGCGCUCGCGUGCCCGCCGCGAGCCGCACGCGCUCGCGCCCGCUCCCACUCCUGCACCCGUACCGGUGCCUACUCCUGCGCCAGCACCGGUGCCCACUCCCACCCCCGCAACUGAGCCCCAGCUGAUCCCCGCUCAGGCGCAUUGCCGGGCCAUCUUAAGGCUGAAGAAACGCCCGGCGGCGCAAGGCCAGGCCCAGCCGCGCGCGGAGGCGGAGAAGCUGAUGCCGCCGCCGAGCGCCUGCGGCCCCGUCAUCCUCGACACCUCGCCACACACUCCUCGCGCUGCGACCGUCUCGCCACUGCCACCUCACGCUGCCACCAUCUCGCCACUGCCAUCACGCGCCACCACCCUCUCGCAGCACAGGUAUGCACGCCACGCCCCAUUCCGCGUCAACGCUAGGUAA